rnacentral:lncRNA from 1 species
GUGAAGGAUUACCAGCCGAUCUACCGUGGCAACUUGGACUCAAAAACAAUCUCAGAAAAGAGGUACAAGUUGAAGAAGAAAUUCUUCGACUACUGCAAGUCGGAGGCCGGCCUGAACCCGGGUCAAGAAGGUCCGGUAUACGCCUGCUGCAGAGAGGCAUGGCCACACAUCGUCGAGAAGGCCCGCGCUGAUGUUGCUAAUGAGUAGAUCACGGACAAGUACAAUCCAGCCUUUUUCUUUUAUUUCACCAAUAAACAAGUGUAGUUUUCUUUCCCAUUUCUUCCAUCGUCAAUGAUACUCUGUAUCCGAUCUGUUUUUUCAAUUCCUUUUGUCAGUUUAUUUUCUUUUCCUUGAUUUAUAUGAGAUUGUUCUGAUGUAUAUGCCAUGGAGAGUCUGUAUCAUGCAUACACUAGAACAAGAAUUAUCUGCAGUACUUAUAC